rnacentral:rRNA from 1 species
CCUGCCCAGCAGAAAGACCCGUGAAC